rnacentral:lncRNA from 1 species
UUUCAUACGUAUCAUGUCCCUCAUGAAUCAGAUCAAGCGUAGUUCUUGAAAAAAAAUGGACAAAAUAAUCUAAGAAAUCAAAUCUUUUUGGAUUUUUCAUUUAUAAAUUUUUUUAUUUUUCAAAUACAAAACAAGAAGUAAUAUAACAAAGACUCGAAAGUCUUAACUAGACUGACAGACUUGAUACUAAUGUACAAGACAAGUAAGAGAAAAUAUGAACAGACUCAAAAUAUAAAAAGGCUCCUUAAGCAGCUCCUGAAUCUAGUGGUCCUGGGGUAUAAAUCAUGCUUGAGAUGUGGUAAAAGAAUCCAUACCUGAAUUAGAAAAAUAAGACCAAAUAGAUUAGAUGACUCGAGACACUGUGUGAGACCACAACACCUCCCAUUGGACACAUGCAGGAUAUGAUUGAGCUAUUUUUUGGAAAUUAGACUACGUGGCCAAGAGUGGCUAGAAGUGUAAACUCAACAUAUGGUGACCCCAUGGACAUGGAAAAUGACUCACUAAAAACUUUUAUGGAUUCAAACUCCCAAUAUCAUGGCCCCAAAAAAUUAAUUUGCAGAAAUAACCCAUUUCAUAAAAACGAUCGAUAUGACCAGAAGUGGCCCAAGAUGAAAACUCAAAAAGGACGGACCUUAAAGUAAUAUGACACCUAGUUGUGGACUCAAAAUCCUAAGACAUGGGUUAUUGAACCACAUUUGCAAAAAUGACCCCAUUUUGCAAGAAUGGUCGAUGUGACCAAAAGUGGCUAGACAUGCCAGAUAUGGCUAAGGCCCCACAAAGCCAAGAACCUAAGACACUAGGAAGACCAGACCCUAUGUGGGUUGCCUAUGUAUCUCGCCUCGAAAGACGAGAAUCAAUUUCGCGUAUUUCGGGAAAAUGCAACUAUUUUAGAAAAAAAAUUAUAUUUUUGACUUUUUGUAAAAUGAUGAAAAAUAUAAACUCUUUUUGGAUUUUUUUUCUCCUUUUUCUUUUAAAUUUUGGAAAACGAUAGAAAAUAAAAAAUCUUUUUGGAUUUUUCUUUAUUUUUCUUUUGAUUUUUUUUUGAAAAAUAAUGGAAAAGUGUAAAAUCUUUUGAAUUUUUCGUUUUCAUUUUUGUGAAUUUUUUGAAAAAUGAUGGCAAAGUGUAAAUUUUUUUCUUGAUUUUCUAUUUUUAAUUUUUUUUGAUUUUUGAAAGACUAUGAAAGAAAAAUGCGAGUGGGCCCUGCUUGCUUCAUUUUUUACCCUAUUUUUCAAAUAUCUGUCCGUCAAAUGACCUUUUUACCCUCAAGUAUGCAACAUGUAUCACAUAGGGAUGAUUGACUGUCUUUUUGGGCCACGAGCCCAUUUUGACAAAAUUUGGACAGGCUUCCUACCAAGUGACAUGAUACUUGGGACCGAGCCCUACUAGGUGUAAAUGACAUGAUGCAAAUAAAAAUAACCUAAAGGCUGACCUAAGUUUGGGGUUCACUAACUAGGCAAUUCGGGGGAGCCUAUGGUCGAUGGCGGCUGCUCAAGCUUUUCACCCACUCCAUACGUCCGAUGGCUCCCCCUCCUAAAUUAAGGGUGACUCAACAAAGGCUUCGUGCACGCGACGCGUGCUCCGAGAUUUGUUGCAGAAGGAAGACCCAUGGUUAUGCAAGUGAUGAUAAUUAUAAAGCAGUAAACACAUAAAGCAAAAAUGUAAACACAUAAACAACUAGAAAAUAACAAAAUAUAAAACAUAAUAAAAAUUAAGCAAAGCUAAUUAAAAAAAAGCAUAAAAAAACUCAACCAAGUAUUUUAAAAUCCAACAAAAUCGAAUACUAGCUCGAACACGCGAGAUCCCAGCAGAGUCGCCAGAGAUGUCACACCCUUUUUUUUAAACAAACCCCACUAAACCCUCUUAAUUAAAUAAAAGGAAUUUAGUAAAAAGCUUGAAAAGGGAAGUGAUAAAAAAAAAUUUCAAAAGGAAAAUAACUUAGAGUCGCCACCUGACAUUGAUUUUCGGUGUGCCAGGUCACCAUUUUUAAAAUACUUUUUCCUUUUAAAACAUUUGGACUCAAGACUAAUUCCGCACCAGAGGUUCAGGUAAGGGGGUUCAUUUGACUCGGGGAGAAGGUGUUAGGCACUUCCCUAGUCCCGUGAAGGUCACGGUUGCGUACUCGAUCUAGUUGGCUUUUGGAAUCUAAUUGAGAUAAAAAAAACACAGAAAAGAAAGAAGAAAAAGCAAACACACAAGAGAUUCGAGGUAAAAAGAAAAUAAAACUAACACAAUAAAUUCUACGAGUUCCACUUUAGACCUCAUAAUACAAGUACCUCGGGGCAUACCCUGAAAUAAAAUAUGCACAAGUCUUUUGGGGCAUUUCCGGAUAAAUUUAACAAAGGGAACGACCUCUCACCUCGCAUCCUAAAACUUGCCUACCCAAAUAUUGUCGGCCCAAAACAUGCUUCUAACGGAUAAUAAAAAUAACCCAAAAUUAAAUAGAACUAAAUAUUUUCUCACCUUGUGGGACUAUAUUGGGUAGUUAUUAUUGUUGUUAUUGUUGUUUAAAUAGAACUAAAUAAAAUGAAAAUUCAAUUCUUGUAUAUGUGUUAACAACCUUAAAUGUGCUUCUAAUGAUAAAAAAGGGAAUAAUGCAAGAGUUAAACGUUUCUUUCUUUAGCAUUUCAAUUCCCACGAUACAUUUUCAAUUAAUCAUCACUAUCUUACUUCUCUUUCGUCCUAUCUCUCCAUAUUUUCUUAAUCAACAAUCAAAGGAAAAAUUAAUUCAAACUAACGAGAAUCAGCUGCAAAGAAUCAAACAAGCAAACAUAAAUUAACAAAUGCACGUUAAACUGAUAUCACUACAUAAACAUGUAAAAUAAGAUUAGUUACGAUCCAUCAAAUAUAAGAAACAAAAAAAUGGUGAGAAAUUGACCUCAAUGAGUAGAUCUCUCUUCAAUUAAAGCAACAACGUAUGAACAUGAGCGGGGACUCGAGUUCGAUCGGAAAACCUCGAACGGCAUGAACACGAAUCAGACUCGACGAAACUCUCAACCUCGUCGGAGAACACUUUUUUUUUAAUUCUGUCCGAAUCCGCCUAGAUUCCCUUCAUCUCUGUGUAUGUAUUGUGGUCGCCGGAAUUGGGGAUGGACGGUUGCAGUGAAGUUAGGGUGUUAUGAGGUGUUGUUUUGUUGAAGAAAAAUAACGAUGGGGCGUCGCUGUACUGGAAAGGAGCAGAAGCGGAAGCAGAAGGAGUGGGGCUGGCAGUUGCUAUCCCUUCCUUAGGGUUUUCAUCUUGUGUAUAUAUAAAGAAGAAGGUAGGGUUAGGGUGGGGAUUUAAGAGGAAUGGAAAGUGGACUAAGUCUUG